CACAGGGGCAAGUAACUCUAAUUGACAGGAAGUUGAAAUCCAUCAUCAAGCGCGCACUUGUAAUCUCUAAAGAUGUCGUUGUUUUCCAAUCCUACACAAGCAUUUGGUACUAACCCCGCUACAACUGCUGCCACGGGGUUUUCAUUUGGUGGUGGUGCGGCGACGACAACGGCGCCAGCAUUUGGUGGAUUCGGCGGCACCGCUACAACAUCAGCACCAACAGGCUUUUCAGGUUUCGGGACGGGAACCCAGGCGACGGUGGGGCAAGGCACAGGUUUUUUCGGGGGUGCUCCCACGGCAACGACUACAGCAACAGCACCAGGUUUCAGUGGCUUCGGGACUAACCCUGGCACAUCCACUACAGGUUUCUCAGGAUUUGGAGGAGCAGUGCCACCAACAACUACUGCCUCAGGAUUUGGUGGAUUUGGUACCACAUCAGGCUUUGGUGCUGGAACGGGAACCACAACUGGCUUUGGUGCUGGAACGGGAACCACAACUGGCUUUGGUGCUGGAACGGGAACCACAACUGGCUUUGGAGCACCGACAGGAGCCACGGGAACUUCAACAGGAUUUGGGGGAUUUGGCACUACAGGAUUUGGUGGUGCAGCAACAGGACAAACUGGCUUCGGAGGGGGAUUGUUUGCAGGAGGCCAGCAACCUCAGCAGCAGCAGGGUGCCUCUGACCUCACCAAUAUGGCCAUGGCUGUGUCGCUGCCGCAGAUCUAUGGUGACGAGAAAGAUGCCAUGAUAGCCAAGUGGAACCAGCUCCAGGCAUGCUGGGGAACUGGGAAGGGCUUCUACAGUCCGAAUGGCGUGGUGGAGUUUAAGGCAGAUAACCCCUUCUGCAGAUUCAAGGCGAUUGGGUACCAUGUGAUACCAAGUGGGAGGAACGAGGAUGGGUUGGUGGCGCUCAUGUUGAAGAAGAAGCAGACCGAUGUGGCUGCAGCGCAACAGCAAAUCGUUGACACACUACACAAGAUGUUCGGCAGUAAACCCACUCUCUCUGUCUGUGUGGAGGGCAUCCGACCACUCCCAGAGGACAGGACAGAGUUGGUGAUCUAUGUGCUGGAGCGUCCACAGACAGGGCCUGCUAGACGGGUUGGAGCGUCGGAUCUGUUUACAUUCAUGAACCAGGCAGGCACUAAGAACACACUGGUCACCCAGCUGACUGUGGAAAACAUUGUGCCAAAGAUGGGCUGGUCCAGUGAACAGCUGAAGGAGUACCUAGAUAAACCCCCAGCUGGUAUCGACCCUGUGCUGUGGCAGCAGGCCAAACCACUCACUCACUCACACACUCACUCACUCACUCACUUGUCUGCCUCCUCAGGUAUCGACCCUGUGCUGUGGCAGCAGGCCAAACCACCGACUCACUCACUCACACACUCACUCACUCACUCACUCACUCACUUGUCUGCUUCCUCCAGGUAUCGACCCUGUGCUGUGGCAGCAGGCCAAACCACUCACUCACUCACACACUCACUCACUCACUCACUUGUCUGCCUCCUCAGGUAUCGACCCUGUGCUGUGGCAGCAGGCCAAACCACUCACUCACUCACACACUCACUCACUCACUCACUCACUUGUCUGCCUCCUCCAGGUAUCGACCCUGUGCUGUGGCAGCAGGCCAAACCACUCACUCACUCACUCACUCACUCACUCACUCACUCACUUGUCUGCCUCCUCAGGUAUCGACCCUGUGCUGUGGCAGCAGGCCAAACUACUCACUCCCUCACUCACUCACUCUGCCUCCUCCAGGUAUCGACCCUGUGCUGUGGCAGCAGGCCAAACCACUCACUCACUCACACACUCACUCACUCACUCACUCACUCACUCACUUGUCUGCCUCCUCCAGGUAUCGACCCUGUGCUGUGGCAGCAGGCCAAACCACUCACUCACUCACUCUGCCUCCAGGUAUCGACCCUGUGCUGUGGCAGCAGGCCAAACCACUCACUCACACACUCACUCACUCACUCACUUGUCUGCCUCCUCCAGGUAUCGACCCUGUGCUGUGGCAGCAGGCCAAACCACUCACUCACUCACACACUCACUCACUCACUCACUCACUCACUCACUCACUCUGCCUCCUCCAGGUAUCGACCCUGUGCUGUGGCAGCAGGCCAAACUACUCACUCCCUCACUCACUCACUCUGCCUCCUCCAGGUAUCGACCCUGUGCUGUGGCAGCAGGCCAAACCACUCACUCACUCACACACUCACUCACUCACUCACUCACUCACUCACUCACUCACUUGUCUGCCUCCUCCAGGUAUCGACCCUGUGCUGUGGCAGCAGGCCAAACCACUCACUCACUCACUCACACUUCUGCCUCCUCCAGGUAUCGACCCUGUGCUGUGGCAGCAGGCCAAACCACUCACUCACUCACUCUGCCUCCAGGUAUCGACCCUGUGCUGUGGCAGCAGGCCAAACCACUCACUCACACACUCACUCACUCACUCACUUGUCUGCCUCCUCCAGGUAUCGACCCUGUGCUGUGGCAGCAGGCCAAACCACUCACUCACUCACACACUCACUCACUCACUCACUCACUCACUCACUCACUCUGCCUCCUCCAGGUAUCGACCCUGUGCUGUGGCAGCAGGCCAAACCACUCACUCACUCACUCACUCACUCUGCCUCCAGGUAUCGACCCUGUGCUGUGGCAGCAGGCCAAACUACUCACUCACUCACUCCUCUGCCUCCUCCAGGUAUCGACCCUGUGCUGUGGCAGCAGGCCAAACUACUCACUCACUCACUCACUCUUCUGCCUCCUCCAGGUAUCGACCCUGUGCUGUGGCAGCAGGCCAAAUAUCGACCCUGUGCUGUGGCAGCAGGCCAAACUACUCACUCACUCACUCUUCUGCCUCCUCCAGGUAUCGACCCUGUGCUGUGGCAGCAGGCCAAACUACUCACUCACUCACUCUUCUGCCUCCUCCAGGUAUCGACCCUGUGCUGUGGCAGCAGGCCAAGCUGGACAACCCAGAUCCCACCAGACUGAUCCCAGUCCCAAUGAUCGGCUUCAAGGAGGUUCAGCGGCGACUACAGCACCAGCAGGAACAGACACGACUACAUCAACAACGUCUCGAUGUGAUGUCUGGUGAUCUGACGGACCUGCAGAACAAGCACAGCAACAUGCUAGCUAGACAGGAGGAGUACAAGAGGAAGCACCUGGAGCUGGGCCACCGACUGUUGCAG
rnacentral:misc_RNA from 1 species